rnacentral:rRNA from 1 species
GUGGGGAAUCUUCCGCAAUGGACGAAAGUCUGACGGAGCAACGCCGCGUGAGUGAAGAAGGUUUUCGGGUCGUAAAGCUCUGUCAUCAGGGACGAACGGCCGGUGGAGUGGAAAGCCACCGGAUUGACGGUACCUGAGAAGGAAGCCACGGCUAACUACGUGCCAGCAGCCGCGGUAAUACGUAGGUGGCAAGCGUUGUCCGGAAUUAUUGGGCGUAAAGCGCGCGCAGGUGGGAUCUUAAGUCCAUUUUUAAAGUUCGGAGCUCAACUCCGUGAUGGGAUGGAAACUGGGAUUCUUGAGUACCGGAGAGGAAAGCGGAAUUCCCCGUGUAGCGGUGAAAUGCGUAGAUAUGGGGAGGAACACCAGUGGCGAAGGCGGCUUUCUGGACGGUGUCUGACACUGAGGCGCGAAAGCCAGGGGAGCGAACGGGAUUAGAAACCCCAGUAGUCC